UACGUAGGGGGCUAGCGUUGUCCGGAAUCAUUGGGCGUAAAGCGCGUGUAGGCGGUCCGGUAAGUCCGCUGUGAAAGUCGAGGGCUCAACCUCGAAUGCCGGUGGAUACUGUCGGGCUUGAGUACGGGAGAGGCGAGUGGAAUUCCUGGUGUAGCGGUGAAAUGCGCAGAUAUCAGGAGGAACACCGAUGGCGAAGGCAGCUCGCUGGGACGGUACUGACGCUGAGACGCGAAAGCGUGGGGAGCAAACAGG
rnacentral:rRNA from 1 species